CACAAUGCACCGCGCCACGGCGCUCUCUGGGGCUAUGCAUUUUGGCCGGCCUAAUUGUGUCGGGCGGCUGCCAGUCCCCGUACUUUCGUAUAAGUGGAAACAGCGACGGCUGUGUGCGCGCUGUACUGCUGUGCAAGGUGCAAACGCAAAGUGCUGGGACGACGCGACCAUAGUAAACGCCCUACGAUGAAUCGGAUACACGCGAGAGAUGUGCUUCGUGAGACGCUGUGCGCACACAAGUUCUCGCUACCGAAAGCCGACUCGUUCAGGACGCAUUGAAGCGGACACAGCCUGCAGUGAAAAACAACACGACGGCGGGAUGACGGAUUUCUUGCGAGUCAGCAACGAUAUAUGCAGACGUGGCAAAGCAAAGGAAAAGUGGGCUCUGGGACGAUGUGAUGCAGGAAAGCCCUCUACGAUGGAUCGCAUGCACGCGAAACUGUAGAUGCUUCAAGCAACGUUAGUGCGCGCGCCUUUAUCGACCAUGCCCUCCUCUGCCGAAAGUUGCGUUGAUCUGUUUGCAACGACGGGGAUACGCCCAAAGUGGCCACAUCGUUUCAUUCUUCACCACGCCUGGGCCCACCGAUGUGAAAAGUUAGCUUUAAGUCCCAUCAAUUUUAUUUUAUUUAUUUAGUUUUAUUUAAAAAUACCUUACAGGCCUCCAUUGAGGCAUUGUGUAAGGGGGGCAGUAUGAAAAAGUGGACUUCCAUAGUAGUUACAUAACAAAAAGUUCAUGAACAGUGGUCAUGUAGAUCACAUAAUAAGAAGAGCAAAACAAAAUAAUUAAUUAGUUCAUCAGCAAUGGUAACAAAAGAAAAUCAACAACACUAGCAAAGAUAAAACAUAUAAUAAGGAAAUAUUCAUCGAGUCAAGCACAAUUGAAAUCUUACAGUACUAGGGUUCGAAUAGAAAAAAAAGA
rnacentral:lncRNA from 1 species